rnacentral:antisense_RNA from 1 species
UUGCUGACAACGCUUUUGCGUUAGGGUCAAACAAAUCAAACCACGACCAUAAGUCGCCAUGAAGUUGAUCGCUUCUGGUGUCACCUUUUCAGCGGCAAUGAUCA